rnacentral:rRNA from 1 species
AGUGAACGCUGGCGGUAGGCCUAACACAUGCAAGUCGAACGGCAGCACAGUAAGAGCUUGCUCUUACGGGUGGCGAGUGGCGGACGGGUGAGGAAUACAUCGGAAUCUACUUUUUCGUGGGGGAUAACGUAGGGAAACUUACGCUAAUACCGCAUACGACCUACGGGUGAAAGCAGGGGAUCUUCGGACCUUGCGCGAUUGAAUGAGCCGAUGUCGGAUUAGCUAGUUGCGGGGUAAAGGCCCACCAAGGCGACGAUCCGUAGCUGGUCUGAGAGGAUGAUCAGCCACACUGGAACUGAGACACGGUCCAGACUCCUACGGGAGGCAGCAGUGGGGAAUAUUGGACAAUGGGCGCAAGCCUGAUCCAGCCAUACCGCGUGGGUGAAGAAGGCCUUCGGGUUGUAAAGCCCUUUUGUUGGGAAAGAAAAGCAGCAGGUUAAUACCCCGCUGUUCUGACGGUACCCAAAGAAUAAGCACCGGCUAACUUCGUG